ensembl:lncRNA
GCAAUUAACAUCAAGUACAUGCUGGGCGGGGCCUUUGAUUUGUUUCGAACAGGUUCUUGGGCUGGAGAUCCACCAUUCUCCUUGUUGCCAGUGGUACGGGGCACUGCCUUCAGAGCCAGAGUGGUGGGCCGUGCCGGGCUGAUGGCAGAAAGUGGAGAAGGGCUGGCAGAGGAGUCGGAUGAAGAUGUGAGGUGCUCUAAGACUGGAGUUGGAGGUGGGGGAAGGGGAAGGUCAAGGAUGUCGUGGGGUUCUAAAAGGGGAACAGGGUCUGGAGGAGGCACAUCUUGCAAGUCCAGGUCUGCACUGUUCCUGUCCAUAUGUUCUGUCCAGUCAUGUACUGGUUCUGCCUCUGGCUGGACAAAACCUGGGUCACUUGGAAGUGCUGGGAAUGAUGAUUUGCUACCUGUGAAAAGACAUAAACAGUGUAAAUAAAUGUAGUAAUAAUGGACGCAAACAUAGCUGAACUAGUGAUCAUUCAAGCUGAUGGUGAAUGAUUCGCCAUCAAGUUCCUGAACACAGUAGGUCCAAGUUAACAUUAUUCAUAGACCUACUAGACCUACUUUUCUUUCUUUCUUUUUUAGUUAUUACAAUUUGGAUUAAACCAAAUUCAAGUGUCCAGUCAAACAGGUCAAUUAUGGUAACUCAAUAACACAGUAAAUAGAUUUGACAAUAUUGGGUUGGGAUUUUCACCACUGUAACUAAAAACAAAUAAACAAAAAACAGGGACCUCUGGGCUAUAAUUCAAGGACUCCAGGAGGACCCCAGACUCCUCUUGGAGAACCGCCAUGAAAUAUUCAGUGCUUCAUUUUGAUUGAAAUGAAAAAAAAAAAAAAGGCUUCAGUCCCUAAAUAAAU